UAGGGAAUAUUGCAAAAUGGGCGAAAGCCCGAUGCAGCAACGCCGCGUGGGCGAUGAAGGCCUUCGGGUCGUAAAGCCCUUUUUGAGGGGAUGAGGAAGGACAGUACCCUCAGAAUAAGCCUCGGCUAACUACGUGCCAGCAGCCGCGGUAAAACGUAGGAGGCGAGCGUUAUCCGGAAUUAUUGGGUUUAAAGGGUGCGUAGGCGGACUAAUAAGUCAGUGGUGAAAGCCUGCAGCUUAACUGCAGAAUUGCCAUUGAUACUGUUAGUCUUGAGUACAGUUGAGGUAGGCGGAAUGUGUCAUGUAGCGGCGAAAUGCUUAGAUAUGACACAGAACACCGAUUGCGAAGGCAGCUUGCUAAGCUGUAACUGACGCUGAGGCACGAAAGCGUGGGGAGCAAACA
rnacentral:rRNA from 1 species